GGAGUUUGAUCCUGGCUCAGAAUGAACGCUGGCGGCGUGCUUAACACAUGCAAGUCGAACGAGAAAGAACCUGCUUGCAGGUUCGAGUAGAGUGGCGCCCGGGUGAGUAACGCGUGGAUAAUCUACCUUUGGAUCUGGGAUAACAUUGCGAAAGCGGUGCUAAUACCGGAUAAGAUCGCAAAUUUUGCGGAAUUAGCGAUGAAAGGCCGCCGAUCCUUGGAAGCGGUUGUCUGGAGAUGAGUCCGCGUACCAUUAGCUAGUUGGUGGGGUAAAGGCCUACCAAGGCGACGAUGGUUAGCUGGUCUGAGAGGAUGAUCAGCCACACUGGAACUGACACACGGUCCAGACUCCUACGGGAGGCAGCAGUGAGGAAUUUUGCGCAAUGGGGUAACCCCUGACGCAGCAACGCCGCGUGAGUGAUGAAGGCUUUUGGGUCGUAAAGCUCUGUCAAUGGGAAAGAAAUUAUUUAUGGUAAAUAACCAUAGGUAUUGACGGUACCCAUGAAGGAAGCACCGGCUAACUCCGUGCCAGCAGCCGCGGUAAUACGGGGGGUGCAAGCGUUAUUCGGAAUUAUUGGGCGUAAAGGGCGCGCAGGCGGUAUUAUAGGUCAGAUGUGAAAGUUCAGGGCUCACCCCUGAAAGAGCAUUUGAAACCAUAAUACUUGAGUAUGGGAGAGGGAAGUGGAAUUCCAGGUGUAGAGGUGAAAUUCGUAGAUAUCUGGAGGAACACCGGUGGCGAAGGCGACUUCCUGGACCAAUACUGACGCUGAGGCGCGAAGGCGUGGGUAGCGAACAGGAUUAGAUACCCUGGUAGUCCACGCAGUAAACGUUGUACACUAGGUGUAGCGGGUAUUGACCCCUGCUGUGCCGCAGCAAACGCAUUAAGUGUACCGCCUGGGGAGUACGAUCGCAAGAUUAAAACUCAAAGGAAUUGACGGGGGCCCGCACAAGCGGUGGAGCAUGUGGUUUAAUUCGACGCAACGCGAAGAACCUUACCUGGAUUUGACAUCCUGGGAAUACUUAAGAAAUUAAGUAGUGCCUUUCGGGGAGCCCAGAGACAGGUGCUGCAUGGCUGUCGUCAGCUCGUGUCGUGAGAUGUUGGGUUAAGUCCCGCAACGAGCGCAACCCUUAUCUUUAGUUACCAUCAUUUAGUUGGGGACUCUAGAGAUACUGCCCCGGUUAACGGGGAGGAAGGUGGGGAUGACGUCAAGUCCUCAUGGCCUUUAUAUCCAGGGCUACACACGUGCUACAAUGGUAUGUACAAAGAGUUGCGAGGUCGCGAGGCCAAGCUAAUCUCAGAAAGCAUAUCUUAGUUCGGAUUGGAGUCUGCAACUCGACUCCAUGAAGCUGGAAUCGCUAGUAAUCGUAGAUCAGCAUGCUACGGUGAAUACGUUCCCGGGCCUUGUACACACCGCCCGUCACACCAUGAGAGUUGACUGUACCAGAAGUUGUUGAGGUAACCUUCGGGGGCCAGGCACCUAAGGUAUGGUUGAUAAUUGGGGUGAAGUCGUAACAAGGUA
rnacentral:rRNA from 1 species